GACGAACGCUGGCGGCGUGCUUAACACAUGCAAGUCGAGCGGUAAGGCCCUUUCGGGGGUACACGAGCGGCGAACGGGUGAGUAACACGUGGGUGACCUGCCCUCAGCUCUGGGAUAAGCCUGGGAAACCGGGUCUAAUACCGGAUAUGACUCCAUGACGCAUGUUGUGGGGUGGAAAGCCUUGUGCGGCUGAGGAUGGGCCCGCGGCCUAUCAGCUUGUUGGUGGGGUGAUGGCCCACCAAGGCUAUGACGGGUAGCUGGUCUGAGAGGACGACCAGCCACACGGGGACUGAGACACGGCCCCGACUCCUACGGGAGGCAGCAGUGGGGAAUUUUCCGCAAUGGGCGAAAGCCUGACGGAGUGACGCCGCGUGUGGGACGAAGGCCUU
rnacentral:rRNA from 1 species